UACGUAGGAGGCAAGCGUUGUCCGGAAUUACUGGGUGUAAAGCGCGUGUAGGCGGCAGGCCAAGUCUGUGGUGAAAUCGCUCGGCUCAACUGGGCGGGGUCCAUGGAAACUGGUCAGCUGGAGGACGGUAGAGGUGAGUGGAAUUCCCGGUGUAGUGGUGAAAUGCGUAGAGAUCGGGAGGAACACCCGUGGCGAAGGCGGCUCUCUGGGACGGUACUGACGCUGAGACGCGAAAGCGUGGGGAGCGAACAGG
rnacentral:rRNA from 1 species